rnacentral:rRNA from 1 species
GGAGAAAAGCAGGGGAUCGAAAGACCUUAUGCUUUUGGAGUGGCCGAUGUCUGAUUAGCUAGUUGGUGAGGUAAAGGCUUACCAAGGCAACGAUCAGUAGUUGGUCUGAGAGGAUGACCAACCACACUGGGACUGAGACACGGCCCAGACUCCUACGGGAGGCAGCAGUGGGGAAUUUUGGACAAUGGGGGAAACCCUGAUCCAGCAAUGCCGCGUGAGUGAAGAAGGCCUUCGGGUUGUAAAGCUCUUUCAGUUGAGAAGAAAAGAUUCUGACUAAUAAUCAUAAUUAAUGACGGUAUCAACAGAAGGAGCACCGGCUAACUACGCGCCAGCAGCCGCGGUAAUACGUAGGGUGCGAGCGUUAAUCGGAAUUACUGGGCGUAAAGGGUGCGCAGGCGGUUACGUAAGUCAGAUGUGAAAUCCCCGGGCUUAACCUGGGAAUUGCGUUUGAAACUACAAAGCUAGA